UGGGGGAUAUUGCACAAUGGGGGAAACCCUGAUGCAGCGACGCCGCGUGAGUGAAGGAGCGUUUCGGCGCGUAAAGCUCUAUCAGCAGGGAAGACAAACUGCCCCGGAAGGGGCAGCCGGACGGUACCUGACCAAGAAGCCCCGGCUAACUACGUGCCAGCAGCCGCGGUAAUACGUAGGGGGCAAGCGUUAUCCGGAUUUACUGGGUGUAAAGGGAGCGUAGACGGCAAGACAAGCCUGGAGUGAAAGGCGGGGGCCCAACCCCCGGACUGCUCUGGGAACUGUCUGGCUGGAGUGCAGGAGGGGUAAGUGGAAUUCCUAGUGUAGCGGUGAAAUGCGUAGAUAUUAGGAGGAACACCAGUGGCGAAGGCGGCUUACUGGACUGUAACUGACGUUGAGGCUCGAAAGCGUGGGGAGCAAACAGG
rnacentral:rRNA from 1 species